CUUAGGGCGGGGUUCAAGAGAGGUCAAACCCAAAAGGGAUCGCGCGGAUGCCCUGCCUGGGGUUGAAGCGUUAAAACGAACCAGGCUAGUCUGAUAGUGGCGUGUCCGUCCGCGGGUGCCAGGCGAAUGUAAAGACAGUCUAAGCAUGUAGUACCGAGGAGAUAGGAAUUUCGGACGCGGGUUCAACUCCCGCCAGCCCACCA
rnacentral:tmRNA from 1 species